rfam:Bacillus galactosidilyticus strain PL133 scaffold000038, whole genome shotgun sequence.
UGGGCAGUAUCCUAAACGAACUGCACCCUAUAUAUCAUGAGCGUAAGCAUAGAUAGCGCUUGUACCACAUUCCUGGUACUUGUGCUGUUCUAAUCUGCCUUGAUCCAUUUUGUGACUGGGACAGAGGA